rnacentral:misc_RNA from 1 species
GGGGCUUCCGAUUUCUUCAACUCCGGUGAGAACAUCACCUGUUAUAGAAGAAAUAGCAGAAAUUGGACAAGCUGUUCCAUCCAGCAGUAGUAAAGGGCAAGCAAUUUCCCCAGUCUCUGGUGAGGUAUCAGGGUCUAAGGUUAAAGAUGCUGAAAUGAGACACGGAAAGUUUCAGAGGUCCCAUCAAUUUGAAAAAGACAGGUUUGAUGAGUGGGAAGACGCAUUCAAGCUUGAAAGCGAUCAGCGGAAAAUUGAUGAAAUGUUUAUGAGGGAAGCACUAAUGGAAGCCAAAAAGGCUGCUGACAAUUGGGAAGUACCUGUUGGGGCUGUGCUGGUUCAUGAUGGAAGAAUAGUUGCUCGUGGAUACAACCUUGUAGAAGAACUGCGUGACUCUACUGCCCAUGCAGAAAUGCUGUGCAUACGUGAGGCUUCAAGCACACUUCGGACAUGGAGACUUUCGGAUACCACACUUUAUGUAACACUUGAGCCAUGUCCUAUGUGUGCUGGAGCAAUACUU